CCGGCUGCAGGCCCUUCGGAGGGUCCUGUGGGAUCUCGGCUUUUAGAGGCUAUGGAGAACCUUGGCUUGUGGCCUUCCUCCAUCGCUUUGCAAGCCCGCAAAGGUGAGAAAAGUCUUCCUUACACAGUCACUCUGACCCCUUCCUUCUCCUCCGUCCCCCACUUCUUCAGGACACUCAGGAGUGGAUGGAGCCCAGGAAGAUAAUUCAGGCUCAUCUCUCCACUUCAAGGUCAUCGGAAUUGGCACUUUUAAUUCCACCUGCCUCCUAGACUGCCCUUUGCCACAGAAGAUCUUGGAUUUAUAGAUCAGAACUGGAGCUGCACGAAAACACACAACCAGAAAAAUAUUCCAAAGAAACACUGGGCUGCCGGAUUAGUCUAGAGCCAGCUACAGUAACCUCUGUGGGGUCUCUUCAGCUUUGUGUGACCUGAUGGGUCAGCCACGGCUACCUUGUUCAGACUCUCCCUCCAGGACCUUGUGUCCCACCCAAGACUGACAGGGUCAGAGCACAGGUGGGCAUUAUUAGUUUUUGAUGGUUCGUUCUAUGUCACUGUUGCGUUACUUUGUUUAUUAUUAUUGUAUAUGUGCAUAAUGUGGGCUGAGGGGCACAUGUGAGCCGUGAGGCCAGCAUGCCACCGCCAGAGUGUAGAGGUCAGAGGACAACUUCGUUCUCUCUGCUGCUUCUGCUUCCACCUUUAUGUGGCUUCCGGGUGUUGAACUCAGGCCUCCAGGCUUGCGCCAUAAGCACUUUGCCUACAGAGCCGGUUCACCAGGCCUGUCUUUAUUUAUAUUUUUUGAGGUCUUGUGUGUCCAUGGCUGGUCUUGAGUUCACUGUGUAGCAGAGGAUGACCUUGAACUUCUGAACCUCCUGCCCCAAGCUCCAAGUGCUAUGAUUAUAGGCGCAUAUCACGAUUCCUAACUCUGA